UUUUAUAAGAAUAUGAUGUUGGUUCAGAUUAAGCGCUAAAUAAGGACAUGACACAUGCGAAUCAUACGUUUAUUAUUGAUAAGAUAAUAAAUAUGUGGUGUAAACGUGAGUAAUUUUAUUAGGAAUUAAUGAACUAUAGAAUAAGCUAAAUACUUAAUAUAUUAUUAUAUAAAAAUAAUUUAUAUAAUAAAAAGGAUAUAUAUAUAAUAUAUAUUUAUCUAUAGUCAAGCCAAUAAUGGUUUAGGUAGUAGGUUUAUUAAGAGUUAAACCUAGCCAACGAUCCAUAAUCGAUAAUGAAAGUUAGAACGAUCACGUUGACUCUGAAAUAUAGUCAAUAUCUAUAAGAUACAGCAGUGAGGAAUAUUGGACAAUGAUCGAAAGAUUGAUCCAGUUACUUAUUAGGAUGAUAUAUAAAAAUAUUUUAUUUUAUUUAUAAAUAUUAAAUAUUUAUAAUAAUAAUAAUAAUAAUAUAUAUAUAUAAAUUGAUUAAAAAUAAAAUCCAUAAAUAAUUAAAAUAAUGAUAUUAAUUACCAUAUAUAUUUUUAUAUGGAUAUAUAUAUUAAUAAUAAUAUUAAUUUUAUUAUUAUUAAUAAUAUAUUUUAAUAGUCCUGACUAAUAUUUGUGCCAGCAGUCGCGGUAACACAAAGAGGGCGAGCGUUAAUCAUAAUGGUUUAAAGGAUCCGUAGAAUGAAUUAUAUAUUAUAAUUUAGAGUUAAUAAAAUUAAUUAAAGAAUUAUAAUAGUAAAGAUGAAAUAAUAAUAAUAAUUAUAAGACUAAUAUAUGUGAAAAUAUUAAUUAAAUAUUAACUGACAUUGAGGGAUUAAAACUAGAGUAGCGAAACGGAUUCGAUACCCGUGUAGUUCUAGUAGUAAACUAUGAAUACAAUUAUUUAUAAUAUAUAUUAUAUAUAAAUAAUAAAUGAAAAUGAAAGUAUUCCACCUGAAGAGUACGUUAGCAAUAAUGAAACUCAAAACAAUAGACGGUUACAGACUUAAGCAGUGGAGCAUGUUAUUUAAUUCGAUAAUCCACGACUAACCUUACCAUAUUUUGAAUAUUAUAAUAAUUAUUAUAAUUAUUAUAUUACAGGCGUUACAUUGUUGUCUUUAGUUCGUGCUGCAAAGUUUUAGAUUAAGUUCAUAAACGAACAAAACUCCAUAUAUAUAAUUUUAAUUAUAUAUAAUUUUAUAUUAUUUAUUAAUAUAAAGAAAGGAAUUAAGACAAAUCAUAAUGAUCCUUAUAAUAUGGGUAAUAGACGUGCUAUAAUAAAAUGAUAAUAAAAUUAUAUAAAAUAUAUUUAAUUAUAUUUAAUUAAUAAUAUAAAACAUUUUAAUUUUUAAUAUAUUUUUUUAUUAUAUAUUAAUAUGAAUUAUAAUCUGAAAUUCGAUUAUAUGAAAAAAGAAUUGCUAGUAAUACGUAAAUUAGUAUGUUACGGUGAAUAUUCUAACUGUUUCGCACUAAUCACUCAUCACGCGUUGAAACAUAUUAUUAUCUUAUUAUUUAUAUAAUAUUUUUUAAUAAAUAUUAAUAAUUAUUAAUUUAUAUUUAUUUAUAUCAGAAAUAAUAUGAAUUAAUGCGAAGUUGAAAUACAGUUACCGUAGGGGAACCUGCGGUGGGCUUAUAAAUAUC
rnacentral:ncRNA from 1 species